GCGCCCAUAGCUCAGUUGGUAGAGCAGAUCCCUCUUAAGGAUAAGGUCCCAGGUUCGAGCCCUGGUGGGCGCACCA
rnacentral:tRNA from 1 species